rnacentral:rRNA from 1 species
UACGGAGGAUCCAAGCGUUAUCCGGAAUCAUUGGGUUUAAAGGGUCCGUAGGCGGCCUUAUAAGUCAGUGGUGAAAUCUCCCGGCUCAACCGGGGAAAUGGCCAUUGAUACUGUAGGGCUUGAAUUACCAGAAAGUAACUAGAAUAUGUAGUGUAGCGGUGAAAUGCUUAGAUAUUACAUGGAAUACCGAUUGCGAAGGCAGGUUACUACUGGUGGAUUGACGCUGAUGGACGAAAGCGUGGGGAGCAAACAGG